UACGUAGGGUGCAAGCGUUGUCCGGAAUUAUUGGGCGUAAAGAGCUCGUAGGCGGUCUGCCGCGUCUGCUGUGAAAACUCAGGGCUUAACCCUGAGCUUGCAGUGGGUACGGGGCAGACUAGAGUGCGGUAGGGGAGACUGGAAUUCCUGGUGUAGCGGUGAAAUGCGCAGAUAUCAGGAGGGAACACCGGUGGGCGAAGGC
rnacentral:rRNA from 1 species